AUAACGUAACGUUCUUCAACGCACAAGCUUGUGUGCAUAAGGCUUUACAUUCUAACCUUAAAAUUAUUUGAACACCGAAAUCACAUGAGGAAAUAAAUAGGAACACACAAUAUUGAAAAGAAAAUCAAGAGAACUUUUUUUGUGAUUAUAAAAGUGAGAAUAAAUGGUCUGAUCUAUCAAAAAAAGAAGGGACAAUAAAAAUAAGAAGAGAAAUUGAAGAGUAUUUAUUCUCUAGUAAAGAUGUAACUUUAGAAAUUGCAUUUACGACAUCUGGCUGCAAUUUUCCUUUUGAUUUUAUUUGCCUACUUAAACCUUUCUUUCGCGCAUAAUCAGAGGCAC